rnacentral:lncRNA from 1 species
CCUGACAGUGGCUUUCUCAGUUUUAUCUUGGGUCCUGUAUUUGACCUUACUCAGAUGUCCUGUACUUAAAACACUUUACUUUUUCAUAAAAAGUACAAAAAGUUUACUCUAAAAACUUCCGGGCCUUUUCAAAAUGAGAAAAACCCUUCAAGUCCAGAAAUUGGCUCAACUUGUCUUUCCAUCUGCUCCCUCACUAUCCUGAACUAUACACAGCUGCAGGGUGGGAUGCGUUCCUCUGGAAGGAUACAGCCAGAAUUUCCCCUUGUUGCCUCAGAAAGUUUUGGAAUUGGAAGUGUGGGGGCGUUUAGGCCCUGAGGUGAGUGGCAGGGGCAAAUGUUGCUCUUGGAUCUCUUGGUGAGGAAUGAAUGUCACCUGCUCCUAAGAGCCUUUCUCUCCCUCAGGAAGUCUGGGUGGUGGGCCACGUCCCCACGCCUCAGCUGACCCUAACGAAAAUGGGGAGCAGUCCACCCUUCCCCUUCCUCUACCCUUCCUGGAGCAGAAGGGAGGAGAGAACUCGCAGCUCUGAAAAGGACCAGAGAUAGGAAUAUUUUCCUGAAAACCGUAACUUACCUUCAUUUAGAAAACGUUGCUGAUUCCUGAGUAUCUCACAGGUGAGCAGUCAGUGCAGAAGUGUGUAUUUCCCCAGUCAAGCCUUCAGCUGAGACCCCAGCCCCAGCUGACACCUUAAUUGCAGCCUUGUGAGAGACCUUGGAGCAGAGAACCCAGAUUCUUCGGCGGGACCCACCCAGUUCCUGGACCCUGCCCUGGCCACUCCAGUGUCCACAAUCGCAAAACCCAUCCAUACACACACCUGCACUGACUGCUCACCUGUGAGAUACUCAGGAAUCAGCAACGUUUUCUAAAUGAAGGUAAGUUACGGUUUUCAGGAAAAUAUUCCUAUCUCUGGUCCUUUUCAGAGCUGCGAGUUCUCUCCUCCCUUCUGCUCCAGGAAAGGUAGAGGAAGGGGAAGGGUGGACUGCUCCCCAUUU